rnacentral:rRNA from 1 species
UGGGGAAUCUUGCACAAUGGGGGCAACCCUGAUGCAGCGACGCCGCGUGAGCGAUGAAGCCCUUCGGGGCGUAAAGCUCUUUCGACCGGAACGAUAAUGACGGUACCGGGAGAAGAAGCUGCGGCUAACUACGUGCCAGCAGCCGCGGUAAUACGUAGGCAGCAAGCGUUGUUCGGAGUUACUGGGCGUAAAGAGUGCGUAGGCGGUUUUCUAAGUUCGGUGUGAAAUCUCCCGGCUUAACUGGGAGGGUGCGCCGAAGACUGGGAAGCUGGAGUGUGGGAAAGGCAGGCGGAAUUCCUGGUGUAGCGGUGAAAUGCGUAGAUAUCAGGAGGAACACCGGUGGUGUAGACGGCUCACUGGACCAUUACUGACGCUGAGGCACGAAAGCGUGGGUAGCAAACA